GUCGAACGCGAAAGGCCCCUUCGGGGGCCGAGUAGAGUGGCGUCCGGGUGAGUAACACGUAGGUAAUCUACCUCUGGGUGGGGAAUAACGACCGGAAACGGUCGCUAAUACCGCAUAAUGCAGCGGCACCACAUGGUGACAGUUGUUAAAGCGGGGGAUCGCAAGACCUCGCGCCUAGAGAGGAGCCUGCGGCGGAUUAGCUAGUUGGCAGGGUAACGGCCUACCAAGGCAACGAUCCGUAGCCGGCCUGAGAGGGCGGUCGGCCACACUGGCACUGACACACGGGCCAGACUCCUACGGGAGGCAGCAGUCGGGAAUUUUGGGCAAUGGGCGAAAGCCUGACCCAGCAACGCCGCGUGAAGGAUGAAGCUUUUCGGAGUGUAAACUUCAUAAGAAUGGGACGAAUAAGGAAGGGCUAAUACCCCUUUUGAUGACGGUACCAUUUGUAAGCUCCGGCUAACUCCGUGCCAGCAGCCGCGGUAAUACGGGGGGAGCAAGCGUUGUUCGGAUUUACUGGGCGUAAAGGGCGCGUAGGCGGCGCAACAAGUCACUUGUGAAAUCUCCGGGCUUAACCCGGAGCGGUCAAGUGAUACUGUCGUGCUAGAGUGCGGAAGGGGCUACUGGAAUUCUCGGUGUAGCGGUGAAAUGCGUAGAUAUCGAGAGGAACACCUGCGGCGAAGGCGGGUAGCUGGGCCGACACUGACGCUGAUGCGCGAAAGCCAGGGGAGCGAACGGGAUUAGAUACCCCGGUAGUCCUGGCCUUAAACGAUGGAUACUUGGUGUCCGGGGUUACAU
rnacentral:rRNA from 1 species